AAAGUCGGCCCAAUUCUUAUACCCAACACAAUAUAACUCCCAAUUAAAAAGUCUCCACUUAGUCUCAAAUCUCUCCUACCCUAACCCUCAAAGUUUCUAUUUGUGUGUACUGCUUCUGCUCUACAUCUUCUACGGUAUUUCUAGUGUCCGGCUAAAAUUGAAGUAUGACGCCAUGUUGGAGCUCGUGGGUUUUAAAAGAAGAGUGAAACAUUUAAGAAUUGUAUCCUUAAAAUGGAGGAAAGGGAUAGAGUCAAGAGACGUGUUUUUUCUCUAGACUCUUAGACUUCAAUUGUCUUUUUUCAAGACUCGAAUUCAAUUCGCCAGGUUUUAAAAGUGGCCAAGCAGGCUAUUGACCUGAACGUGUGGAUUGAGGAAGCACGGAUAAAACUUUUGCCGGAGAAGUUAAAGGCAGAGACAUAUUCCUGUUGCCUGUUGAGCCGUGAAGGAACUAUACGAGAUUGUUCCAACUCGCAAAUGGAAAGGAGAAAACAAAAUCAACAAAAUAGUUUCUAUAGGUGGAUUGUUAAAUGAAGAGCUAUCGACCUGGUCAUACGAUAAAGAAGGAAAGAGUAAACUAUUAUAUUGGUGGUAAUCUUAUUUUUUUUUCUCUCUUUCCUGAGUUUAAGCAAUCAUUGAUAAAAAAAAGGUAAGAUUAAACUAUUAUAUUGGUUGUUCUUAUUUACUUUUAUCCAAAAUCGACAACAUUUUGCUUAUAAAAUUGUGCAAUUAGUUUAUCUCGAUUUACAUUUGAUCAGGUAUUUUUUUUAUUUUUUUUCGAUUUUCUUGGUUGUGAAAGUGCUUGUUAUCAUAUGCUGAUCUCUUACUACUUGCUUGUGGAUUUUUGUUUAUGUAUAGCAUAACAUCAUGACAAUGAAGAUGCUUUUUGAUGGGAAGCUAGGCAUUGCUGGUGGGUAGGAGACUCAAAAGGAGUUUGAUUUGUUUGUGAUUGGAGCUGGCAAUGGUGAAGUUCAUUCCUCACAAUUUCCUAGUCUAGAACUCAUUUUUCGUUUAGUCUAUACCCCGUUUGUACUAAAAGUCUAGGAUACAUUUGUAACUAAGAUAUUAAGGUGCAUGACACAUUUUGUGGUUAUAUAUAGGAUAUUUAAAUUUAUGUAAUGACUAUUAAUAAUUAUUUUAUGUGCAAGUACAAUUACCUUUUGUACUCGGUUUUGUA